rnacentral:rRNA from 1 species
AGUGAACGCUGGCGGUAGGCCUAACACAUGCAAGUCGAACGGCAGCACAGUAAGAGCUUGCUCUUACGGGUGGCGAGUGGCGGACGGGUGAGGAAUACAUCGGAAUCUACUUUUUCGUGGGGGAUAACGUAGGGAAACUUACGCUAAUACCGCAUCCGACCUACGGGGGAAAGCAGGGGAUCUUCGGACCUUGCGCGAUUGAAUGAGCGGAUGUCGGAUUAGCUAGUUGGCGGGGUAAAGGCCCACCAAGGCGACGAUCCGUAGCUGGUCUGAGAGGAUGAUCAGCCACACUGGAACUGAGACACGGUCCAGACUCCUACGGGAGGCAGCAGUGGGGAAUAUUGGACAAUGGGCGCAAGCCUGAUCCAGCCAUACCGCGUGGGUGAAGAAGGCCUUCGGGUUGUAAAGCCCUUUUGUUGGGAAAGAAAAGCAGCAGGUUAAUACCCCGCUGUUCUGACGGUACCCAAAGAAUAAGCACCGGCUAACUUCGUG